rnacentral:rRNA from 1 species
AACGAACGCUGGCGGCAGGCUUAACACAUGCAAGUCGAGCGCCCCGCAAGGGGAGCGGCAUACGGGUGAGUAACGCGUGGGAACGUACCUUUUGGUUCGGAACAACUCCGGGAAACUGGAGCUAAUACCGGAUAAGCCCUAACGGGGAAAGAUUUAUCGCCGAAAGAUCGGCCCGCGUCUGAUUAGCUAGUUGGUGAGGUAACGGCUCACCAAGGCGACGAUCAGUAGCUGGUCUGAGAGGAUGAUCAGCCACACUGGGACUGAGACACGGCCCAGACUCCUACGGGAGGCAGCAGUGGGGAAUAUUGGACAAUGGGCGCAAGCCUGAUCCAGCCAUGCCGCGUGAGUGAUGAAGGCCUUAGGGUUGUAAAGCUCUUUUGUCCGGGAAGAUAAUGACUGUACCGGAAGAAUAAGCCCCGGCUAACUUCGUG